rnacentral:rRNA from 1 species
ACGAACGCUGGCGGCGUGCUUAACACAUGCAAGUCGAGCGGUAAGGCCCUUUCGGGGGUACACGAGCGGCGAACGGGUGAGUAACACGUGGGUGACCUGCCCUCAGCUCUGGGAUAAGCCUGGGAAACCGGGUCUAAUACCGGAUAUGACUCCAUGACGCAUGUUGUGGGGUGGAAAGCCUUGUGCGGCUGAGGAUGGGCCCGCGGCCUAUCAGCUUGUUGGUGGGGUGAUGGCCUACCAAGGCGACGACGGGUAGCCGGCCUGAGAGGGCGACCGGCCACACUGGGACUGAGACACGGCCCAGACUCCUACGGGAGGCAGCAGUGGGGAAUCUUGCGCAAUGGGCGAAAGCCUGACGCAGCGACGCCGCGUGAGGGAUGACGGCCUGG